AUACUUCAAACCGGUGAUCACU
rnacentral:misc_RNA from 1 species